GAUGAACGCUGGCGGCGUGCCUAAUACAUGCAAGUCGAGCGAACAGAUAAGGAGCUUGCUCCUUUGACGUUAGCGGCGGACGGGUGAGUAACACGUGGGUAACCUACCUAUAAGACUGGGAUAACUUCGGGAAACCGGAGCUAAUACCGGAUAACAUUUGGAACCGCAUGGUUCUAAAGUGAAAGAUGGUUUUGCUAUCUCUUAUAGAUGGACCCCCGCCGUAUUAGCUGGUUGGUAAGGUAACGGCUUACCAAGGCAACGAUUCGUAACCGACCGGAGAGGGGGGUAGGCGACCCGAGAGCUUGGACACGGUCCAGACGCCUACGAGAGGCCGCAGAAGGGAACCGGCCGCAAUGGGCGAAAGCAUUACGGAGCAAGGCGGCGUGAGUGAUGAAGAGUUUCGGCGCGUAAAACCCUGUUAUUAGUGAAGAACAAACGUGUAAGUAACUGUGCACUGCUUGACGGUAACUAAUCAGAAAGCAACGGCUAACUACGUG
rnacentral:rRNA from 1 species